rnacentral:tRNA from 1 species
GGGCCUCUAGCUCAGUGGUUAGAGCAUCCGGCUCAUAACCGGCAGGUCCCGGGUUCAAAUCCCUGGAGGCCCACCA